AAUUCCUUCCGCUUUGAAAAGUGUCUUCCUUCCGGAGAUACCCUUUCUCGCUUGGCCGUCAUUCGUGCGACUGGUGGAUGAGAAAUGGGCACAUACGUGAAGCAGGUGCCCCGGGCACUGCGUCGCUCUCAAUCCGUCCCGUCGGGCCCGCGGACGGUGGUAAUCCGCGCAGCACAACCGCGAAAUGCCUCGGUCAGCUCUCCCGAUCUUCCCCGCUUCAUGAUGUUUCAGGGAGCCGAGAUCCCGCUGUCCACCCCGCUCGCGCAGAGGUGGGAUCGGGGACUGACCGUCUUCCCGCCGUCCGAUGCCGCACCCCCGCUGGCCGCUGCGGCGCGUGCAGUGGAGGAUCCCCGUCCGCUGACGGAUAAGCGCUGGCGGCGCGAAGCGAUGGGGAAACUGCUGAAUGUUUUGGAAGCGCACAAUUUCGAUUGGGAGCAUCCCAAGGGAGAUCGCCUACAGUUGCAGCAUCUGCUGCACAUGGAUCUUGCCAUGCUGCGCCAGAUUUUUUCUCAUUUGGAUGGCAUUCUCUCUGCCCACUCGGAUCCGGCCGAGAAGCUGCUGCCAGCCACCAUGGCCCAGCGGGCCCGCGAGAUGGGCUAUCCAUACCUCCGCAAGUUAACGCCGAACACGUUCAAGGCUCCCAAUAUCCCGUCGUCCUGGCCGACGGUGUGCGGAUUCCUGGACUGGCUGCGGGAGGCAGUCGAGGCGCAUCGCGCCGCGGGAGAUGCUGGCGCCGUCGACGCCCGGGAGGCGGCUGGCCAGGCUGCGCGUGCCAACCAGAAGCCCCGCGUCGUCCCCCGUCCGAUCGCUGUGCCCAUCCGUCAGGACGCCGAGUUGGCCGAGCAGUCGGGUGUGGGCCGUGUGGCGAUUGCUCCUGGUGACGCUGUGCCGGAUGCUGCUGCGCUGCAGCCCGCGAUGACUCCCGGUGGACCGCCCAGCGCCGACGCCUGAACGCCGUGUCCUUUGCCAUACCUGUGAUUUGUGGCGAGAAGGUGCAGAUGCUGCUGUCCGACCGCUUCCUCGGCUUCGUCAUGCUCCCCGUCGCCGGCUCCUGGAACUACAACAUGCACUGCACCAUGUCGGCUAACAGCGGUGAACGUGCCUCUUUCUAUCCCAGCCCGAAAAAUUAACAGAGUGGUGUUAUGAUGACCUGGAGGGACUGCAUUCACGGGAGACAAUCCCAGUAGAAAUACCGCGCCGUGGAUAUCCGGGCGGUGCGCGGCGCUGGUGGCCUGGGGACGUUAUCAAUCUGACGCGGGGAGUGGACCUAACGGUUAUGCAAUGGUACGCCGCGGUGUUCGUUGUCCAGGGGCGGGAUGACGCGGGUACCAUCUGGACGGACAUGGUCCCCCGGCAGCGUCUCCACUUCCCGGUGCCGGAAGCAUGGUGGACGGGGGAAGCGAAAGAACGAAGGGUCCCCGAUGACGCAGCUGCUUCCGGUGGCGUCGGGACGCUUCGUCAAGCGCAGUCUGCCGUUGCCGGCCGAAUAUCGUCAGGUGUCAGCAGCACAGCUGGCGCCGGUGCUCCGAGAGUCGCAGGCUAAGCACCAGCGCGCCUCUCAAGGCCAGGUGGUCGGUGUCGAUGUCGUGGACGGGCAGGGGCAUUUUAUUGUGGCGCUGAACGGUGAUGACGGGUGUCCGCCGCGGCAAGCCCAAGACAUAGCACAGGUAUGACGAGGUUUCUAGUUGUUGGCCACGUAACAAGUAGUUGUACUUAGUUGUGUGCCGCGGUCUGCCGUGUCAGACCAUCUAUCUGGUCCGCUGCUCGGUGAAGUCCCUGCACGACCUGACGCUACUGGAGCUGCCGGAACACACCACUAGCGCUGGAUGUCGACGUGGCCAAGAUGCGUCUGCCGUUAAACGGGGAUGUCGCCAGCACCGUGUGGAAUGCUCUCGAGGCGCUGCUGCCGACGCCCAGCGACGACGAGAUGCAAGCACUAUCGGCAUGGUUGGCGUUUGUCGGUACGGCAGACGAGAGCCACGAGUAGAGUCGAACGGCAGCCUGCAAAGUGUUGUGUACGACGCAGACCACUGAUCCGCGUCCCUCGUCGCAUUACCACGGGAAGAAGUGGUGUACUGCGGAACCUGCACCUGCCGAACCUGUCGCGUUUUUCCUUGCGCUUUCUUCUCAUCCCACGCAGUGGAUCCGAGUAACAGUGUCGGACUCUCCUAAUGGAUGUUUUCCUUUUCUCAAGUCGUUUUCAGCGUCUU